AAAUCUAUUGUAACAGAUGGAUAACGUUCUAUUUUUGACAUUUUUUUCCUCUUUUUUGUAGAUAUAAAGAACUGAAAGUUGAUCAACUUUUUCUCGACCAAUAUAAGAGGUUGUAGUAAAGAUGGAUUCAGAGGAAUAAGUUGCAUGCAGAUGGAACCACUUCAUAUAUGAGAGGUAUGUAUUACUAAUAAUGUUAUCGUGGAAACACACAUAGAGUACACUAAUUUUGUGAAUGCU
rnacentral:lncRNA from 1 species